rnacentral:rRNA from 1 species
UGAGUAACCUGCCCUUAACUCUGGGAUAAGCCUGGGAAACUGGGUCUAAUACCGGAUAUGACUCCUCAUCGCAUGGUGGGGGGUGGAAAGCUUUAUUGUGGUUUUGGAUGGACUCGCGGCCUAUCAGCUUGUUGGUGAGGUCACGGCUCACCAAGGCGACGACGGGUANCUGGUCUGAGAGGAUGAUCAGCCACAGUUGGGACUGAGACCACGGCCCAGACCUCCGUAGGGACGG